rnacentral:lncRNA from 1 species
ACCCUUGCAGCUAAUUCCCGCCAUCUCUGGGCGUACUCUUUGAAACUUUCUCCAGACUUUUGACAUAAACUCUGUAACUGAGUCCGGCUCGGAGCCAUGUCCAUAUUGUGCUUAUAUUGCCUCAAGAAGGCUUCACCCAGAUCUCUCCAACUUCUGAUAGACUCUCUUUUCAGCUCCAUGUACCAAUCCAUGGAAGCUCCAAACAAGCUAUCUUGGAAGAAGUACAUCCACA